rnacentral:rRNA from 1 species
AACACAUGCAAGUCGAGCGCGUCUUCGGACUAGCGGCGGACGGGUGAGUAACGCGUGGGAACGUGCCCUUCUUCUCGGAAUAGCCCCUGGAAACUGGGAGUAAUGCCGGAUACGCCCUUUUCAGCGAUGAUUGGGGGAAAGAUUUAUCGGAGGAAGAUCGGCCCGCGUUGGAUUAGGUAGUUGGUGGGGUAAUGGCCUACCAAGCCGACGAUCCAUAGCUGGUUUGAGAGGAUGACCAGCCACACUGGGACUGAGACACGGCCCAGACUCCUACGGGAGGCAGCAGUGGGGAAUCUUGGACAAUGGGGGCAACCCUGAUCCAGCCAUGCCGCGUGAUCGAUGAAGGCCUUAGGGUUGUAAAGAUCUUUCAGCUGGGAAGAUAAUGACUGUACCAGCAGAAGAAG